GAAGCCGGCCGGACAGCCGCUGCGGCUCAGUGCCGUGGAGGAAAGUCCGGGCUCCACAGGGCAGGGUGCCAGGUAACGCCUGGGGGGCGCGAGCCCACGGAAAGUGCCACAGAAAACACACCGCCGAUGGCCUCCGGGCACAGGCAAGGGUGAAAAGGUGCGGUAAGAGCGCACCGCGCCCCUGGCAACAGGGGUGGCAGGGUAAACCCCACCCGGAGCAAGACCAAAUAGGGGAACACAGGCGCGGCCCGCGCCGUUCCCGGGUAGGUCGCUCGAGGUGCGCGGCGACGCGCAUCCCAGAUGAAUGGCUGUCCACGACAGAACCCGGCUUAUAGGCCGGCUUCACCU
rnacentral:RNase_P_RNA from 1 species